ACACGCCCUACCCAUUAACCACACACAGACGACUGACAGUUCCCACCCCCCCCGACCAAAACUGACAACUGGAAGACAUAACACCCGCUUGAACAAAUUACACACACCACCGGGACCUGGAGUAAUCCUGGACGGACACCUUAAAUCAGCCGGAUGGACAGACAGGUUUGCGACACGGGAUCACUCGACUCCCGGUAAACAGUAAGACCCCAAAGCACACGCAAAUAACCCCGAACACUGCACCUGCAGAUGGCCGAUGGCUACUAAGUAGAACAGAAGCUCCCCACAUAUCAGG